UCCGAGCUUGGAUGGCAAUGAUAAGAAUAACAAGUGAAUGAAGCUAAGGUACAUGGUUACCGUCGGCUAGAAUUUUAGAAUGCAUUAGGAACUUUACUCUUUUUGGUAAAUAGAAUAUUGUCUUUUUGCAACAUAAUUGAAUGAAUGUUUCAUCUAGAACCUAAAACCAACAAGUGUGAGGAAACCUCCAUGUACACUUAAAUGCUGGAGUCUAAUAAGUUUUGUUGAUUCAUUUGAUUCAUUAUUUGUCUGUUAUUAUUGUGAAAUUGUGGAAGCAAUUAGAAAUGAUCAAGGCACUUGUUUUCUUUCGAGCACAACUACAUCCAAAAACAACUUACCUGUGAGCAGAGAGAGUAUUGUUAACCCCUUUGAGCCUGAACAGUUGAAUCUCGGCUUGAAAUAAAGCGAGAUCUCAAAAAUGUUUU
rnacentral:lncRNA from 1 species